rnacentral:ncRNA from 1 species
UUUGAUAGAGGUGCAGAAACAAUCAGUAGCAUAUUCAGGCUUCGGACUGCCGCAUAAAAUAUGUAAAAGGUGUUUUUGCCGAAAUCCGUUUUCUGUCCGUAGUGAAAAGGGGUUGGGCAUGCGGAUAAUAUCCGCAUGACUGUCGCACUGUAUUCUCGUGCGGGGAGCUGUCG